rnacentral:rRNA from 1 species
GUGGGGAAUAUUGGACAAUGGGCGAAAGCCUGAUCCAGCCAUGCCGCGUGUGUGAAGAAGGUCUUCGGAUUGUAAAGCACUUUAAGUUGGGAGGAAGGACAGUAAGUUAAUACCUUGCUGUUUUGACGUUACCGACAGAAUAAGCACCGGCUAACUUCGUGCCAGCAGCCGCGGUAAUACGAAGGGUGCAAGCGUUAAUCGGAAUUACUGGGCGUAAAGCGCGCGUAGGUGGUUUUGUAAGUUGGAGGUGAAAUCCCCGGGCUCAACCUGGGAACUGCCUCCAAAACUGCAUGACUAGAGUACGGUAGAGGGUAGUGGAAUUUCCUGUGUAGCGGUGAAAUGCGUAGAUAUAGGAAGGAACACCAGUGGCGAAGGCGACCACCUGGACUGAUACUGACACUGAGGUGCGAAAGCGUGGGGAGCAAACAGGAUUAGAAACCCUUGUAGUCC